rnacentral:rRNA from 1 species
CAGUAGCCGCGGUAAUUCGUAGGGUGCGAGCGUUAAUCGGAAUUACUGGGCGUAAAGCGUGCGCAGGCGGUUCGUUAAGACAGAUGUGAAAUCCCCGGGCUUAACGUGGGAACUGCAUUUGUGACUGGCGAGCUAGAGUAUGGCAGAGGGGGGUAGAAUUCCACGUGUAGCAGUGAAAUGCGUAGAGAUGUGGAGGAAUACCGAUGGCGAAGGCAGCCCCCUGGGCCAAUACUGACGCUCAUGCACGAAAGCGUGGGGAGCAAACAGGAUUAGAUACCCCUGUAGUCCCUGUCUCUUAUAC